GACGAACGCUGGCGGCGUGCUUAACACAUGCAAGUCGAACGGAAAGGCCCUGCUUUUGUGGGGUGCUCGAGUGGCGAAUGGGUGAGUAACACGUGAGUAACCUGCCCUUGACUUUGGGAUAACUUCAGGAAACUGGGGCUAAUACCGGAUAGGAGCUCCUGCUGCAUGGUGGGGGUUGGAAAGUUUCGGCGGUUGGGGAUGGACUCGCGGCUUAUCAGCUUGUUGGUGGGGUAGUGGCUUACCAAGGCUUUGACGGGUAGCCGGCCUGAGAGGGUGACCGGCCACAUUGGGACUGAGAUACGGCCCAGACUCCUACGGGACGCAGCAGUGGGGAAUAUUGCACAAUGGGCGGAAGCCUGAUGCAGCAACGCCGCGUGCGGGAUGACGGCCUUCGGGUUGUAAACCGCUUUCGCCUGUGACGAAGCGUGAGUGACGGUAAUGGGUAAAGAAGCACCGGCUAACUACGUG
rnacentral:rRNA from 1 species